CCUACGGGAGGCAGCAGUGGGGAAUUUUGGACAAUGGGGGCAACCCUGAUCCAGCAAUGCCGCGUGAGUGAAGAAGGCCUUCGGGUUGUAAAGCUCUUUUGUCAGGGAAGAAACGGUNGUAGCUAAUAUCUACUACUAAUGACGGUACCUGAAGAAUAAGCACCGGCUAACUACGUGCCAGCAGCCGCGGUAAU
rnacentral:rRNA from 1 species